UACGUAGGGUGCGAGCGUUAAUCGGAAUUACUGGGCGUAAAGCGUGCGCAGGCGGUUUUGUAAGCCAGAUGUGAAAUCCCCGGGCUUAACCUGGGAAGGGCAUUUGGGACUGCAAGGCUGGAGUUUGGCAGAGGAGACUGGAAUUUACGGUGUAGCAGUGAAAUGCGUAGAGAUCGUAAGGAAGACCAGUGGCGAAGGCGAGUCUCUGGACAGUUACUGACACUGAGGCACGAAGGCCAGGGGAGCAAACGGG
rnacentral:rRNA from 1 species